rnacentral:lncRNA from 1 species
GCCGUGAGAAGCGUGUUCAGUGUCGACACUAUCGUUUUAAGCUCGGCACUAGGAGUAUCGGGAGCCACCCCUUGUGACGAAGCAGAUAAACCGUGAUCGGAUAAUGACGCUAUUUGUUACAAGGGGGACACAUGGAGAAGGAUUUUGUGUAAAAUACAACAUUCCCCAUGUCGACCUGGAACGUUUAGGGUGCACAAAAGCAGUGGAAAUGGCCAGUAACUGCUGUGAUCAGGCAGUUUCCAAAAACCACUGCAGUCUCUGCGAGGUUGCAUCGUACAGAAAUUGGACCAUAAAAAAUAUUGUACAUAAAAAUGAUACUUGUAAAUAAUAAC